GACAGAGGGUGCGACCGUUGUUCGGAAUUACUGGGCGUAAAGCGCGUGUAGGCUGCUCGGAAAGUCGGAUGUGAAAGCCCUGGGCUCAACCCAGGAAGUGCAUUCAAAACUUCCAAGCUCGAGUCCUGGAGAGGAAAGCGGAAUUCUCGGUGUAGAGGUGAAAUUCGUAGAUAUCGUGAGGAAGACCAGUGGCGAAGGCGGGUCUCUGGACAGUUCCUGACGCUGAGGCGCGAAGGCCAGGGGAGCAAACGGG
rnacentral:rRNA from 1 species